GAAACCAACAGGGAUUGCCCCAGUAACGGCGAGUGAAGCGGCAACAGCUCAAAUUUGAAAUCUGGCCCCUCGGGGUCCGAGUUGUAAUUUGUAGAGGAUGCUUUUGGUGAGGUGCCGCCCGAGUUCCCUGGAACGGGACGCCACAGAGGGUGAGAGCCCCGUCUGGCUGGCCACCGAGCCUCUGUAAAGCUCCUUCGACGAGUCGAGUAGUUUGGGAAUGCUGCUCAAAAUGGGAGGUAUAUGUCUUCUAAAGCUAAAUAUUGGCCAGAGACCGAUAGCGCACAAGUAGAGUGAUCGAAAGAUGAAAAGCACCUUGAAAAGAGGGUUAAAUAGUACGUGAAAUUGUUGAAAGGGAAGCGCUUGUGACCAGACUUGGGCGCGGCGGAUCAUCCGGGGUUCUCUCCGGUGCACUUCGCCGCGUCUGGGCCAGCAUCAGUUCGUCGCGGGGGAAAAAGGCUUCGGGAACGUGGCUCCUCCGGGAGUGUUAUAGCCCGUUGCAUAAUACCCUGCGGUGGACUGAGGACCGCGCAUCUGCAAGGAUGCUGG
rnacentral:rRNA from 1 species